UACGUAGGGUCCGAGCGUUGUCCGGAUUUACUGGGCGUAAAGCGCGCGCAGGCGGUUCACUAAGUCCGGCGUGAAAGCCCCCGGCUCAACCGAGGAACGUCGAUCGAUACUGCUGUUCUUGAGGAUUGCAGAGGAGACUGGAAUUCCCGGUGUAGCGGUGAAAUGUGUAGAGAUCGGGAGGAACACCGGUGGCGAAGGCGGGCCUCUGGGCAAUUCCUGACGCUGAGGCGCGAAAGCGUGGGGAGCAAACGGG
rnacentral:rRNA from 1 species